UACGUAGGGAGCAAGCGUUGUCCGGAAUCAUUGGGCGUAAAGCGCGCGUAGGUGGCUUCGUAAGUCCGUUGUGAAAGUCAAAGGCUCAACCUUUGAAAGCCGAUGGAUACUGCGGAGCUAGAGUACGGAAGAGGCGAGUGGAAUUCCUGGUGUAGCGGUGGAAUGCGCAGAUAUCAGGAGGAACACCAAUAGCGAAGGCAGCUCGCUGGGAC
rnacentral:rRNA from 1 species